rnacentral:tRNA from 1 species
UGGGGCGUCGCCAAGCGGUAAGGCACUGGACUCUGACUCCAGCAUCCUAGGUUCGAAUCCUAGCGCCCCAGCCA